rnacentral:rRNA from 1 species
GAUGAACGCUGGCGGCGUGCCUAAUACAUGCAAGUCGAGCGAACAGACGAGGAGCUUGCUCCUCUGACGUUAGCGGCGGACGGGUGAGUAACACGUGGAUAACCUACCUAUAAGACUGGGAUAACUUCGGGAAACCGGAGCUAAUACCGGAUAAUAUAUUGAACCGCAUGGUUCAAUAGUGAAAGACGGUUUUGCUGUCACUUAUAGAUGGAUCCGCGCCGCAUUAGCUAGUUGGUAAGGUAACGGCUUACCAAGGCAACGAUGCGUAGCCGACCUGAGAGGGUGAUCGGCCACACGGGAAGUGAGACACGGUCCAGACUCCUACGGGAGGCAGCAGUAGGGAAUCUUCCGCAAUGGGCGAAAGCCUGACGGAGCAACGCCGCGUGAGUGAUGAAGGUCUUCGGAUCGUAAAACUCUGUUAUGAGGGAAGAACAAAUGUGUAAGUAACUAUGCACGUCUUGACGGUACCUAAUCAGAAAGCCACGGCUAACUACGUG